GACGAACGCUGGCGGCGUGCUUAACACAUGCAAGUCGAACGGAAAGGCCCUGCUGUUGUGGGGUGCUCGAGUGGCGAACGGGUGAGUAACACGUGAGUAACCUGCCCUUGACUUUGGGAUAACUUCAGGAAACUGGGGCUAAUACCGGAUAGGAGCUCCUGCUGCAUGGUGGGGGUUGGAAAGUUUCGGCGGUUGGGGAUGGACUCGCGGCUUAUCAGCUUGUUGGUGGGGUAGUGGCUUACCAAGGCUUUGACGGGUAGCCGGCCUGAGAGGGUGACCGGCCACAUUGGGACUGAGGUACGGCCCAGACUCCUACGGGAGGCAGGAGUGGGGAAUAUUGCACAAUGGGCGGAAGCCUGAUGCAGCAACGCCGCGUGCGGGAUGACGGCCUUCGGGUUGUAAACCGCUUUCGCCUGUGACGAAGCGUGAGUGACGGUAAUGGGUAAAGAAGCACCGGCUAACUACGUG
rnacentral:rRNA from 1 species